GUCCCUAUCUGCCGUGGGCGCUGGAAAUUUGACGGGGGCUGCUCCUAGUACGAGAGGACCGGAGUGGACGUACCGCUGGUGUACCUGUUGUUUCGCCAGAAGCAUCGCAGGGUAGCUAAGUACGGAAAAGAUAACCGCUGAAAGCAUCUAAGCGGGAAACUUGCCUGAAGAUUAGAUUUCCCGGGAACUUGAUUCCCUUGAAGGGUCGUUGUAGACCACGACGUUGAUAGGUCGGGUGUGGAAGUGCAGCAAUGCAUUAAGCUAACCGAUACUAAUUGCCCGUAAGGCUUGACCUU
rnacentral:rRNA from 1 species